UCUAGCCUGCCCACUGAUUUAGUUUAAAGGGCCGCGGUAUAUUGACCGUGCGAAGGUAGCAUAAUCAUUAGUCUUUUAAUUGAAGGCUUGUAUGAAUGGUUGGACAAAAAGUAAGCUGUCUCAAUUAUAAUGAUUGAACUUAACUUUUAAGUGAAAAGGCUUAAAUAAAUUAAGGGGACGAUAAGACCCUAUAAAGCUUGACAAUAAUUUAAUUAUACUAUCAAUUGUUAGUGUAACUUGGUUUUAAUUAAAAUUUGUUGCGUUGGGGCGACGAGAAUAUAAUAGGUAACUGUUCUUAAAUAUUUAAUAACAAAUAUAAUUGAAAAUUAGUGUGAUCCUCUAUUAGCGAUUAAAAGAUUAAGUUACUUUAGGGAUAACAGCGUAAUCUUCUUUGAGAGUCCAUAUCGACAAGAAGGUUUGCGACCUCGAUGUUGAAUUAAGGUAUCCUUAUGAUGCAGCAGUUAUAAAGGAA
rnacentral:rRNA from 1 species